rnacentral:rRNA from 1 species
AUUGAACGCUGGCGGAAUGCUUUACACAUGCAAGUCGAACGGCAGCACGGACUUCGGUCUGGUGGCGAGUGGCGAACGGGUGAGUAAUGUAUCGGAACGUGCCCAGUCGUGGGGGAUAACGUAGUGAAAAUUACGCUAAUACCGCAUACGAUCUAUGGAUGAAAGCGGGGGAUCGCAAGACCUCGCGCGAUUGGAGCGGCCGAUAUCAGAUUAGGUAGUUGGUGGGGUAAAGGCCCACCAAGCCAACGAUCUGUAGCUGGUCUGAGAGGACGACCAGACACACUGGAACUGAGACACGGUCCAGACUCCUACGGGAGGCAGCAGGUGGGAAUUUUGGACAAUGGGCGAAAGCCUGGUCCAGCCAUUCCGCGUGCAGGAUGAAGGCCCUCGGGUUGUAAACUGCUUUUGUACAGAACGAAGAGGUUUCUACUAAUACUAGGAGCUCAUGGCGGUACUGUAAGAAUAAGCACCGGCUAACUACGUGCCAGCAGCCGCCGUAA